UACGUAGGGGGCGAGCGUUGUCCGGAAUCAUUGGGCGUAAAGAGCGUGUAGGCGGUCCGGUAAGUCGGUUGUGAAAGUCCAGGGCUCAACCCUGGGAUGCCGACCGAUACUGUCGGACUAGAGUUCGGAAGAGGCGAGUGGAAUUCCCGGUGUAGCGGUGAAAUGCGCAGAUAUCGGGAGGAACACCUAUGGCGAAGGCAGCUCGCUGGGACGUUACUGACGCUGAGACGCGAAAGCGUGGGGAGCAAACAGG
rnacentral:rRNA from 1 species